UUAUUGUUAGAUUGAUUUUAU
rnacentral:piRNA from 1 species